UGCACUUAGACCUGUCGUCGGUAAUAUUAUCUCCGAGUUACUCGAUAGUGAUAUCAUUCGUCCUUCGGACUCAUCUGGAAUUGUCGUCGUUAAGAAACAGAAUGGUGAACAUCGCCUUUGCGUCGACUACCGACGUCUCAACAGUAUAACCGUCAAAAUACCGUUUCCAAUGCCAAAACUGGAUGAACAAUUUGCCCAAUUAGCCGCGAAUGCCUAUUUUUCUCAGCUGGACUUGCGUAUGGAAUAUCAUCAAGUCGAGGUUUGCGAAGCAUCCAAACAAUUCACAGCAUUUGUAACUUCAGGAUGCCGUUCGGUCUCGUCAAUGCCCCAGCAGUUUUUCAAGCGGUCAUGAACAAAAUAGUCAAACGCAUGUAGCCAGGGCCAUAUUGUCAACAAAGAUGGUAUCACUCCUGGAGAAAACAAGAUUGUUGCGUAAAUCAGACCAAAACUGUUUCGAUUGGGGAAAUGACCAGCAACGGGCUAAUCGACAAAUUAUGCUGUGUUCCUGUUCUGGUUCUGUAUGACUUUGCAGCACAUCUUGAGGUACACAUAGAUGCUUAUGCGAUCGGACUAGCAGGAGUCCUAUUGCAAUCUCAAGACAAAACGAAUUGGCCACCUGUCUGCUAUUUUAGUAGGUAGGUUUAGUACUGACGCUGAAAGUAGAUACCAUAGCUAUGAACUCGAGACGUUGGCCGUUGUAGCAACACAUCAAAGGUUUGGGGUGUAUAUUCUAGGAAAAC